rnacentral:rRNA from 1 species
GACGAACGCUGGCGGCGUGCUUAACACAUGCAAGUCGAACGGAAAGGCCCUGCUUUUGUGGGGUGCUCGAGUGGCGAACGGGCGAGUAACACGUGAGUAACCUGCCCUUGACUUUGGGAUAACUUCAGGAAACUGGGGCUAAUACCGGAUAGGAGCUCCUGCUGCAUGGUGGGGGUUGGAGAGUUUCGGCGGUUGGGGAUGGACUCGCGGCUUAUCAGCUUGUUGGUGGGGUAGUGGCUUACCAAGGCUUUGACGGGUAGCCGGCCUGAGAGGGUGACCGGCCACAUUGGGACUGAGAUACGGCCCAGACUCCUACGGGAGGCAGCAGUGGGGAAUAUUGCACAAUGGGCGGAAGCCUGAUGCAGCAACGCCGCGUGCGGGAUGACGGCCUUCGGGUUGUAAACCGCUUUCGCCUGUGACGAAGCGUGAGUGACGGUAAUGGGUAAAGAAGCACCGGCUAACUACGUGCCAGCAGCCGCGGUGAUACGUAGGGUGCGAGCGUUGUCCGGAUUUAUUGGGCGUAAAGGGCUCGUAGGUGGUUGAUCGCGUCGGAAGUGUAAUCUUGGGGCUUAACCCUGAGCGUGCUUUCGAUACGGGUUGACUUGAGGAAGGUAGGGGAGAAUGGAAUUCCUGGUGGAGCGGUGGAAUGCGCAGAUAUCAGGAGGAACACCAGUGGCGAAGGCGGUUCUCUGGGCCUUUCCUGACGCUGAGGAGCGAAAGCGUGGGGAGCGAACAGGCUUAGAUACCCUGGUAGUCCACGCUGUAAACGGUGGGUACUAGGUGUGGGGUCCAUUCCACGGGUUCCGUGCCGUAGCUAACGCUUUAAGUACCCCGCCUGGGGAGUACGGCCGCAAGGCUAAAACUCAAAGGAAUUGACGGGGCCCCGCACAAGCGGCGGAGCAUGCGGAUUAAUUCGAUGCAACGCGUAGAACCUUACCUGGGUUUGACAUGGAUCGGGAGUGCUCAGAGAUGGGUGUGCCUCUUUUGGGGUCGGUUCACAGGUGGUGCAUGGCUGUCGUCAGCUCGUGUCGUGAGAUGUUGGGUUAAGUCCCGCAACGAGCGCAACCCUUGUUCACUGUUGCCAGCACGUUAUGGUGGGGACUCAGUGGAGACCGCCGGGGUCAACUCGGAGGAAGGUGGGGAUGACGUCAAGUCAUCAUGCCCCUUAUGUCCAGGGCUUCACGCAUGCUACAAUGGCUGGUACAGAGAGUGGCGAGCCUGUGAGGGUGAGCGAAUCUCGGAAAGCCGGUCUCAGUUCGGAUUGGGGUCUGCAACUCGACCUCAUGAAGUCGGAGUCGCUAGUAAUCGCAGAUCAGCAACGCUGCGGUGAAUACGUUCCCGGGGCU